rnacentral:rRNA from 1 species
AUUAACUUACACCCACACCGCCAGGGAAUUACGAGCAAUGCUUAAAACCCAAAGGAUUUGACGGUGUCCCACCCCGCUAGAGGAGCCUGUUCUAUAAUCGAUGAUCCCCGCUUCACCUAACCAUUCCUCGCCCAUCAGUCUGUAUACCUCCGUCGAAAGCUUACCCUGUGAACGUCCGCAGUAGGCCCAAUGAUUCCCCAUCAGUACGUCAGGUCAAGGUGCAGCUUAAGGAAUGGCAAGCAAUGGGCUACAAUUUCUAAUCUAGAACAAACGAAAGACUAUGUGAAACCCUAGUCAUGAAGGUGGAUUUAGUAGUAAAAAGAAACUAGAGUGUUCUUUUUAACCCGGCUCUGGGACGCGUACACACCGCCCGUCACCCUCUUCGAUAGUACUAUAUCUGUUAAUAACCCCAUAUCACGUUUUAGAAGAGGCAAGUCGUAACAUGGUAAGUGUACUGGAAAGUGCACUUGGUACACUACAAAAUGUAGCUUAACAAAAGCCCCUCGCUUACACCUAGGAAAUGUCUGUUUAACCCAGAUCAUUUUGAGCCUGAAAUCUAGCCCACAAAUUCAUAUGCCCUCACACUACCCAAACAAGCAAACAAAACAUUUUAACAAUUUAGUACAGGCGAUCGAAAAACUUCUAAGCGCUUCAGAUAAAGUACCGCAAGGGAAAUAUGAAAUAGAAAUGAAACAAUCCUAAAGCCCCAAAUAGCAGAGACACC